UCGGGAUAACAACCUGGAAACAGAUGCUAAUACCGGAUAACAACAGAUGAUGCCUAUCAACUGUUUAAAAGAUGGUUCUGCUAUCACUCUUGGAUGGACCUGCGGUGCAUUAGCUAGUUGGUAGGGUAACGGCCUACCAAGGCGAUGAUGCAUAGCCGAGUUGAGAGACUGAUCGGCCACAUUGGGACUGAGACACGGCCCAAACUCCUACGGGAGGCAGCAGCG
rnacentral:rRNA from 1 species